UGUUACAAUGGGGGGUACGAGAGGGCCGCUACCACGCGAGUGGAUGCCAAUCCCCAAAACCUCUCUCAGUUCGGACUGGAGUCUGCAACCCGACUCCACGAAGCUGGAUUCGCUAGUAAUCGCGCAUCAGCCACGGCGCGGUGAAUACGUUCCCGGGCCUUGUACACACCGCCCGUCAAGCCAUGGGAGCCGGGGGUACCUGAAGUGCGUAACCGCGAGGAGCGCCCUAGGGUAAAACUGGUGACUGGGGCUAAGUCGUAACAAGGUAAC
rnacentral:rRNA from 1 species